UACGGAGGGUGCGAGCGUUAAUCGGAAUUACUGGGCGUAAAGCGUGCGCAGGCGGUUUGUUAAGCGAGAUGUGAAAGCCCCGGGCUCAACCUGGGAACCGCAUUUCGAACUGGCAAACUAGAGUCUUGUAGAGGGGGGUAGAAUUCCAGGUGUAGCGGUGAAAUGCGUAGAGAUCUGGAGGAAUACCGGUGGCGAAGGUGGCCCCCUGGACAAAGACUGACGCUCAGGCACGAAAGCGUGGGGAGCAAACAGG
rnacentral:rRNA from 1 species